CAGCCACACUGGGACUGAGACACGGCCCCCCCUCAUACGGGAGGCAGCAGUGGGGAAUUUUGGACAAUGGGGGCAACCCUGAUCCAGCCAUGCCGCGUGCGGGAAGAAGGCCUUCGGGUUGUAAACCGCUUUUAGUCGGGAAGAAAAGGCGCGGGCGAAUACCCCGUGUUUUUGACGGUACCGGCGGAAUAAGCACCGGCUAACUACGUGCCAGCAGCCGCGGUAAUACGUAGGGUGCGAGCGUUAAUCGGAAUUACUGGGCGUAAAGCGUGCGCAGGCGGUUCGUUGUGUCGGUGGUGAAAGCCCCGGGCUUAACCUGGGAAUGGUCAUGGAAACUGGCGAACUGGAGUGUGGCAGAGGGGGGUGGAAUUCCGCGUGUAGCAGUGAAAUGCGUAGAGAUGCGGAGGAACACCGAUGGCGAAGGCAGCCCCCUGGGCUAGCACUGACGCUCAGGCACGAAAGCGUGGGGAGCAAACAGGAUUAGAUACCCUGGUAGUCCACGCCCUAAACUAUGUCAACUGGGUGUUCGGGAAGCGAUUUCUGAGUACCGUAGCUAACGCAUGAAGUUGACCGCCUGGGGAGUACGGUCGCAAGGUUAAAACUCCAAGGAAUUGACGGGGACCCGCACAAGCGGUGGCAUGAUGUGGAUUAAUUCGAUGCAACGCGAACAACCUUACCUACCCUUGACAUGUCC
rnacentral:rRNA from 1 species